rnacentral:lncRNA from 1 species
UAUUGUUAUUUUCGGCUUAAAUGUACAAAAGUCAACACUUCUUGAGGAUAUCAUCCAAGAGUUGAAUCAGAGACUGGAUAUAAGUUUAGUAAAUUCAGAUAUCAGUGGUUUCAAUGUCUUUGGUAAAAAUCCAACAAAUAAAUCAGUACUGGUAGAAUUCGCAACAUAUUCAGCAAAAAUUAGUGUUCUAAAAAAGUGCAAGCUUCUAAAAGGUACAACGGUGUUCAUCGCCGAAGAUCUAUCCCCAUCUCAACAAGCAGUAAGAAAGGAAUUAUUAAAAUACCAAUCUGAACUCAGGUCGUCAGGUAAAACGGUGAAGUUGAGAGGAAAUAGGCUUAUAGUUGAUGGUCAAUCUUUAACACUGGAAAAACUGUCUAUUACUACUACUAACAAGACUGCUGAAGUAACCGACACAUUAUUGGAUGAAACCAGAAAAACAAAUCGUUACCCCACUAGAGCAGCAUCUUCAAAAAAUUAAAUUUUUUUUACUGUAUAUUGUACUUAUAGUUUUUUUUUCACCUUUUUUUUGUUUUCUAGAAUAGUUUUAAUUUAAUAAUCAGUAAUACUGGUACGCUAUAUUAAUUAUUGUAACAUGAAUUCGUUUCUGGAAUACAUUAAUUACACUCCUAUUGAUACAAAAGUAGUUGACUCCAUAAACGAAUAUAAUUUGUGUUCCAAUAAGAACUACUCUUUUCGUAUUUUGCACCAAAAUAUUAGGUCCAUUAUUAAAAAUUUUGAGUUUAAUAUUUACACACAACAAAUAGAAAAUGAUAUUGAUUGUUUUGUAUUAACUGAGACCAGACAAGUGGCAUGUAUAGAUAUUUUUAAAUUGGAUGGAUAUAAUAUCCAUUAUAACGAGGGUAAUUUCAAUCAAAAUGACGGUGUGAUAAUAUUCAUAAAAAAUAACCUUGACUACGAGGUGGAAAUAGUAGAGGUUAACAUUUUUAAAUUCUUAAAAUUAAAAAUUAAACUCAAUAACAUAAUGAUACUUAUUACAGCAAUAUACCGUUCGCCUGCAACCUCAGAAAGUGCGUUUAUUGUAGCCUUAGAAAAUUAUUUAAAUGUAAUAAAAAGCGGAAGCAAUCACAUAUAACAUUAUUGUUGGCGAUAUUAAUAUUGACAUACUUGCAGACGAUGAAAUCGCUAAUACUUAUUUAAAUUUACUGUCCGAAUAUAAUUUUCAUUCAUUAAUAAACAAAAUAACGAGACCAAAUAAAUCGGGAGGUAGCUGUAUAGAUCAUAUAUGUUUGUUAAAUCCACUAAAGAGUCUAUUGAAGAUAUUUGCUCUCCUUUCAUUAUUACAUCUUUAACUACCGAUCACUUCUGUACAAUAGGAGAACUAAACAAUAACAUGAACAUUAUUUGUAAAAAAAAUAUUAAUAAAUUUAAAAAUAGUUACAUUAAUUAUAACAAAUUAAGAGAAAUACUAAGAAAGUAUGAUUGGAGCGAAAUUUUCCUUUUAAGUGACUACAAGAUAUUGCAACUAAAAUUGUAACAACUCUUCAAAAGAAAAUAAAAGAAUCUACUUAUGAAAAAAAAAA